rnacentral:rRNA from 1 species
UACGUAGGGGGCUAGCGUUGUCCGGAAUCAUUGGGCGUAAAGAGCGUGUAGGCGGCUCGGUAAGUCCGCUGUGAAAGUCCAGGGCUCAACCCUGGAAUGCCGGUGGAAACUGUCGAGCUCGAGUCCGGAAGAGGCGAGUGGAAUUCCUGGUGUAGCGGUGAAAUGCGCAGAUAUCAGGAGGAACACCAAUGGCGAAGGCAGCUCGCUGGGACGGUACUGACGCUGAGACGCGAAAGCGUGGGGAGCAAACAGG